GUCGAGCGGACAGAUGGGAGCUUGCUCCCUGAUGUUAGCGGCGGACGGGUGAGUAACACGUGGGUAACCUGCCUGUAAGACUGGGAUAACUCCGGGAAACCGGGGCUAAUACCGGAUGCUUGUUUGAACCGCAUGGUUCAAACAUAAAAGGUGGCUUCGGCUACCACUUACAGAUGGACCCGCGGCGCAUUAGCUAGUUGGUGAGGUAAUGGCUCACCAAGGCAACGAUGCGUAGCCGACCUGAGAGGGUGAUCGGCCACACUGGGACUGAGACACGGCCCAGACUCCUACGGGAGGCAGCAGUAGGGAAUCUUCCGCAAUGGACGAAAGUCUGACGGAGCAACGCCGCGUGAGUGAUGAAGGUUUUCGGAUCGUAAAGCUCUGUUGUUAGGGAAGAACAAGUGCCGUUCAAAUAGGGCGGCACCUUGACGGUACCUAACCAGAAAGCCACGGCUAACUACGUGCCAGCAGCCGCGGUAAUACGUAGGUGGCAAGCGUUGUCCGGAAUUAUUGGGCGUAAAGGGCUCGCAGGCGGUUUCUUAAGUCUGAUGUGAAAGCCCCCGGCUCAACCGGGGAGGGUCAUUGGAAACUGGGGAACUUGAGUGCAGAAGAGGAGAGUGGAAUUCCACGUGUAGCGGUGAAAUGCGUAGAGAUGUGGAGGAACACCAGUGGCGAAGGCGACUCUCUGGUCUGUAACUGACGCUGAGGAGCGAAAGCGUGGGGAGCGAACAGGAUUAGAUACCCUGGUAGUCCACGCCGUAAACGAUGAGUGCUAAGUGUUAGGGGGUUUCCGCCCCUUAGUGCUGCAGCUAACGCAUUAAGCACUCCGCCUGGGGAGUACGGUCGCAAGACUGAAACUCAAAGGAAUUGACGGGGGCCCGCACAAGCGGUGGAGCAUGUGGUUUAAUUCGAAGCAACGCGAAGAACCUUACCAGGUCUUGACAUCCUCUGACAAUCCUAGAGAUAGGACGUCCCCUUCGGGGGCAGAGUGACAGGUGGUGCAUGGUUGUCGUCAGCUCGUGUCGUGAGAUGUUGGGUUAAGUCCCGCAACGAGCGCAACCCUUGAUCUUAGUUGCCAGCAUUCAGUUGGGCACUCUAAGGUGACUGCCGGUGACAAACCGGAGGAAAGGUGGGGAUGACGUCCAAUCAUCAUGCCCCUUAUGACCUGGGCU
rnacentral:rRNA from 1 species